rnacentral:rRNA from 1 species
AGAGUUUGAUCCUGGCUCAGGAUGAACGCUAGCGACAGGCUUAACACAUGCAAGUCGAGGGGCAGCGGGGGCAGCAAUGCCUGCCGGCGACCGGCGCACGGGUGAGUAACGCGUAUGCAACUUGCCUAUCAGAGGGGGAUAACCCGGCGAAAGUCGGACUAAUACCGCAUGAAGCAGGGGCCCCGCAUGGGGAUAUUUGCUAAAGAUUCAUCGCUGAUAGAUAGGCAUGCGUUCCAUUAGGCAGUUGGCGGGGUAACGGCCCACCAAACCGACGAUGGAUAGGGGUUCUGAGAGGAAGGUCCCCCACAUUGGUACUGAGACACGGACCAAACUCCUACGGGAGGCAGCAGUGAGGAAUAUUGGUCAAUGGCCGAGAGGCUGAACCAGCCAAGUCGCGUGAGGGAUGAAGGUUCUAUGGAUCGUAAACCUCUUUUAUAAGGGAAUAAAGUGCGGGACGUGUCCCGUUUUGUAUGUACCUUAUGAAUAAGGAUCGGCUAACUCCGUGCCAGCAGCCGCGGUAAUACGGAGGAUCCGAGCGUUAUCCGGAUUUAUUGGGUUUAAAGGGUGCGUAGGCGGCCUUUUAAGUCAGCGGUGAAAGUCUGUGGCUCAACCAUAGAAUUGCCGUUGAAACUGGGGGGCUUGAGUAUGUUUGAGGCAGGCGGAAUGCGUGGUGUAGCGGUGAAAUGCAUAGAUAUCACGCAGAACCCCGAUUGCGAAGGCAGCCUGCCAAGCCAUUACUGACGCUGAUGCACGAAAGCGUGGGGAUCAAACAGGAUUAGAUACCCUGGUAGUCCACGCAGUAAACGAUGAUCACUAGCUGUUUGCGAUACACUGUAAGCGGCACAGCGAAAGCGUUAAGUGAUCCACCUGGGGAGUACGCCGGCAACGGUGAAACUCAAAGGAAUUGACGGGGGCCCGCACAAGCGGAGGAACAUGUGGUUUAAUUCGAUGAUACGCGAGGAACCUUACCCGGGUUUGAACGCAUUCGGACCGAGGUGGAAACACCUUUUCUAGCAAUAGCCGUUUGCGAGGUGCUGCAUGGUUGUCGUCAGCUCGUGCCGUGAGGUGUCGGCUUAAGUGCCAUAACGAGCGCAACCCUUGCCACUAGUUACUAACAGGUAAAGCUGAGGACUCUGGUGGGACUGCCAGCGUAAGCUGCGAGGAAGGCGGGGAUGACGUCAAAUCAGCACGGCCCUUACAUCCGGGGCGACACACGUGUUACAAUGGCGUGGACAAAGGGAAGCCACCUGGCGACAGGGAGCGAAUCCCCAAACCACGUCUCAGUUCGGAUCGGAGUCUGCAACCCGACUCCGUGAAGCUGGAUUCGCUAGUAAUCGCGCAUCAGCCAUGGCGCGGUGAAUACGUUCCCGGGCCUUGUACACACCGCCCGUCAAGCCAUGGGAG